rnacentral:tRNA from 1 species
GCCCCGCUAGCUCAAGUGGCAGAGCAGCGGACUCUUAAUCCGUGGGUUCGGGGUUCGAGUCCCUGGCGGGGCACCA